rnacentral:tRNA from 1 species
GGAGAUGGUAGCUCAACGGUAGAGCGCAAUUAUUGCCUAAAAAGGCCGCAGGACUAAAGGUUAUCGCUGUAAACGAACCCCCUUUUGUCCGCCGAGAUGCGGGUUCAACUCCUGCUCAUCUCCC